GAUCAUGCUCAGGAUGAACGCUAGCGGCAGGCCUAACACAUGCAAGUCGAGGGGCAGCGAAGAGGUAGCAAUACCUUUGCCGGCGACCGGCGCACGGGUGAGUAACACGUAUGCAAUCCACCUGUAACAGGGGGAUAACCCGGAGAAAUCCGGACUAAUACCCCAUAAUAUGGGCGCUCCGCAUGGAGAGCCCAUUAAAGAGAGCAAUUUUGGUUACAGACGAGCAUGCGCU
rnacentral:rRNA from 1 species